CUUUCUGACCCGACAGCUUCACUUGCUCACUUUCUUACCGAUACGAGUAUAGUUUACUUUCCAAGCACAGCUAAUUCUUUUGUAUAAAUUGACUUUCCUCAAACAAGCAUCUUCUCUUCUCGAUCUCCUACUCAGCAUUAUUCAUAUUAGGGGUACUCCUACUCAGCAUCUAGCGGAUCAAUUGAACUGUCAACUCUCCCGUUAACACUGAGUCUGGUCCUGAUCCAGCAUCU
rnacentral:lncRNA from 1 species